rnacentral:rRNA from 1 species
UGGGGAAUUUUGGACAAUGGGCGAAAGCCUGAUCCAGCAAUGCCGCGUGUGUGAAGAAGGCCUUCGGGUUGUAAAGCACUUUUGUCCGGAAAGAAAUCCUUGGCUCUAAUACAGUCGGGGGAUGACGGUACCGGAAGAAUAAGUACCGGCUAACUACGUGCCAGCAGCCGCGGUAAUACGUAGGGUGCAAGCGUUAAUCGGAAUUACUGGGCGUAAAGCGUGCGCAGGCGGUUUGCUAAGACCGAUGUGAAAUCCCCGGGCUCAACCUGGGAACUGCAUUGGUGACUGGCAGGCUAGAGUAUGGCAGAGGGGGGUAGAAUUCCACGUGUAGCAGUGAAAUGCGUAGAGAUGUGGAGGAAUACCGAUGGCGAAGGCAGCCCCCUGGGCCAAUACUGACGCUCAUGCACGAAAAGCGUGGGGAGCAAAACAGGAUUAGAUACCCUGGUAGUCCACGCCCUAAACGAUGUCAACUAGUUGUUGGGAUUCAUUUCCUUAGUAACGUAGCUAACGCGUGAAGUUGACCGCCUGGGGAGUACGGUCGCAAGAUUAAAAGCUC